GAUGAACGCUGGCGGCGUGCUUAACACAUGCAAGUCGAACGAACCUUCGGGUUAGUGGCGGACGGGUGAGUAACGCGUGAGAAUCUGCCCUCAGGAGGGGGAUAACGGCUGGAAACGGCCGCUAAUACCCCAUAUGCCGCGAGGUGAAACGAAUUUCGCCUGAGGAUGAGCUCGCGUCUGAUUAGCUAGUUGGUGGGGUAAAGGCCUACCAAGGCAUCGAUCAGUAGCUGGUCUGAGAGGAUGAUCAGCCACACUGGGACUGAGACACGGCCCAGACUCCUACGGGAGGCAGCAGUGGGGAAUUUUCCGCAAUGGGCGAAAGCCUGACGGAGCAACGCCGCGUGAGGGAUGAAGGCCUCUGGGCUGUAAACCUCUUUUAUCAAGGAAGAAGAUCUGACGGUACUUGAUGAAUAAGCCACGGCUAAUUCCGU
rnacentral:rRNA from 1 species